rfam:Oryza glumipatula chromosome 5, whole genome shotgun sequence.
AAAAAGACAAAUCCUGGUUUCCGUGUCUAACGUUUGACCGUCCGUCUUAUUUGAAAAAAUCAUAAAAAAAAUUAAAAAGACAAGUCACGCAUAAAAUAUUAAUCAUAUUUUAUCAUCUACCAACAACAAUGAAAAUAUGAAUUAUAAUAAAAUUUCAUAUUAGACGGACAGUUAAAAUUUGACAUAGAAACUCAGGUUUGUCUUUUUU